rnacentral:sRNA from 1 species
UCAGCGUACUCCUGACACUGGUCCACGU